CCUUGCUUACCCGGGCUGUUGCCCACUCCCUCCCGUUCUCCACAACAGUUACUCCUCCUUUCCUCCAGCAUUUGGUUUUACUCUCAGGAGUAAGGGAGGAAAUCACCUACUUAGACGCAGUUCUCCCCUUUAACUGCACUAACGAUCUUAAGAUCACUAAAGCCGAAAGCACUGAACCCCGCAAACUGAACGGAUUUUAAUCAUCAAAGUAAAUCUGGCCAUUAAACACAUAGGAAGAUACUUUGAUGCUUUACCCAAACAAGAAGACAAAUUUGCUUAAAAACAAAUACCGUGUGGCAUUUAGAAGCCUACUCAUACUGGCUGGAAGAGAAGGAAACAGUGGUAAAUAGCUAAGCUUAAAUCUAAGGAAUCCAGAAGGAUAUACAUCAAAAUGCAAAGACCUCCGCCAGGGCAAGAGCCAGGGAGUGGCUCACCACCCAUCAGCACUUGACCCUUCUGAAGAACGAACUAGCACCGGAGAAGGAAAGAGAAGAAACACUGUGUUGUGGAUGCCAGAGAAAACCAGGAUGUAAUAGACAUUGGGGGGAAAACAUUAUUAAGGAAUUUCUAAAGUUCACACUUCUUACUUAGCUAGACAGUUUUUGUUUGUUUGUUAGUUUUUUGAGCCAUACUUUGGAAAAAUACCAAGACCUCACUAAAACCACAGUUCCGUGUAGAGUCAAAACUAGAAAUCAAUGUGAGAUGGUGAAAAGAGGAGAUAGUAACUUAAGGCCAAAAUGUGACUCUUUAGUAAUGAAUUUUGGAAGCACUACC